rnacentral:lncRNA from 1 species
CCCAUUGAACUUCAGCCACACACACACACACUUUUCUCCUUGAUUCAGACUAAAUUAGAAGGUAUCCAUGGUCCAUACCUUAUUCACUCACAUCCUCCCCUUUCUAAAUUCUUAUUUAUUUCCCUCUUAUUCUAUUUUCUCUUAAAUAUUAUUUAAGUUAAUCCUUUCAUACCAUAAUUAUUUUCCUUCUAUUUUUAUUCAUU